GGAGGGUAUAGCUCAGUGGUAGAGCAUGUGCUUGGCAUGCACAAGGUCCUGGGUUCAGUCCCCAGUUCCUCCA
rnacentral:tRNA from 1 species